CACUCCGUCUCAAAAAAAAAAAAAGAACACUAAAUGGUAGGCCCAGCACGGUGGCUCACGCCUGUAAUCCCAACACUUUGGGAGUCUGAGACCAGCCUGGCCAGUAUGGUGAAACCCCAUCUCUACUAAAAAUACAAAAAAUUAGCCAGGCGUGGUGGCGGGCACCACUGGUUGCUAUUUACCCAAAGAGAUAGAGGAAAAGAAACUCUAGACGUCUAAUUGCUUACUCUGAAAAGGGUGGUGGGAAACACUAAAAGAACUAUCAUAUGCUAAGGUUAAUUCGCCUUACGAGGUGAAUCCCAGCUACAAGGGAGGCUGAGGCAGGAGAAUCGCUUGAACCUGGGAGGCGGAGGUUGCAGUGAGCCAAGAUCACGCCACUGCACUCCAGCCUGGGCGACAGAGCAAGACUGGCUCAAACAGAAAACAACAACUAUAAAUGGUAAACUUCACAACAGAGAACAAGCCAACCAAGAGCUGCCAAGUUCUUUAAAAGGUGGCUUUCUGUUCUACUGCCCUCUCCCUUCAAAGUGUUUCUCAACUUUAGCCUGUUUCUUAAAAGAGCAGAUCUAAAUGAUAAAAAAAAGACAUUCGAUUCCAAAAAUUAAGUCCUAAUCACAACCUACCACUUACUAGAAAGUCACCCAAUCUCUCUCUAUCUCUGAGUAGCGUUAUGAAACAUAAACCCUAAAAGCCCCUGAGCACAGACAGCACCAGCACAAAGACUUGUGUCCUAACAGUAUGGCAAAACUGGACAAUAUCAGCACACGUCAUCUCCACUGAGGAGGCUGUCCCUCCACACACGGACUGCCUGGUGCUGUUACCAGCUCUCCCGGCCCAGCAGCACUGACACAGGCCGGUGGUCACUGAGCCUGAGAAAAGCCCAUGAUGUCAGUCAGAACUGUCACAGCAGACAGGUGCCCUUGUGCUGCACUAGGCACGUGCGCUAAACACCUC
rnacentral:lncRNA from 10 species